CAUGGUGUCCAUGAUGACUUUUCUUUCCCCGACAGAUCGACAAUGUUGAAAUUUAUAGUUAAAAGCCAAAACUGUCUGAGGCACCAUU
ensembl:snoRNA